rnacentral:rRNA from 1 species
CGGUACAUCGGUGACAGGUGGUGCAUGGUUGUCGCAGCUCGUGUCGUGAGAUGUGGUUAAGUCCCGCAACGAGCGCAACCCCUAUGUUAGUUGCCAUCAUUCAGUUGGGCACUCUAGCGAGACUGCCGGUAAUAAACCGGAGGAAGGUGGGGAUGACGUCAAAUCAUCAUGCCCCUUAUGACCUGGGCUACACACGUGCUACAAUGGUUGGUACAACGAGUUGCGAGUCGGUGACGGCGAGCUAAUCUCUUAAAGCCAAUCUCAGUUCGGAUUGUAGGCUGCAACUCGCCUACAUGAAGUCGGAAUCGCUAGUAAUCGCGGAUCAGCAUGCCCGCGGUCGAAUACGUUCCCGGGCCUU